rnacentral:rRNA from 1 species
AUUGAACGCUGGCGGCAGGCCUAGCACACGCAAGUCGGACGGUAGCACAGGGGAGCUUGCUCCUCGGGUGACGAGUGGCGGACGGGUGAGUAAUGUCUGGGGAUCUGCCCGAUAGAGGGGGAUAACCACUGGAAACGGUGGCUAAUACCGCAUAAUGUCGCAAGACCAAAGAGGGGGACCUUCGGGCCUCUCACUAUCGGAUGAACCCAGAUGGGAUUAGCUAGUAGGCGGGGUAACGGCCCACCUAGGCGACGAUCCCUAGCUGGUCUGAGAGGAUGACCAGCCACACUGGAACUGAGACACGGUCCAGACUCCUACGGGAGGCAGCAGUGGGGAAUAUUGCACAAUGGGCGCAAGCCUGAUGCAGCCAUGCCGCGUGUAUGAAGAAGGCCUUCGGGUUGUAAAGUACUUUCAGCGGGGAGGAAGGCGAUGUGGUUAAUAACCGCGUCGAUUGACGUUACCCGCAGAAGAAGCACCGGCUAACUCCGUGCCAGCCGCCGCUGUAA